rnacentral:tRNA from 1 species
GGAGGUAUAGCUCAGUGGUAGACUGCAUGCCUAGCAUGCACAAGGUCCCGGGUUCAAUCCCCAAGUACCUCCG